rnacentral:rRNA from 1 species
CAGCAGCCGCGGUAAUACGCAGGUGGCGAGCGUUGCCCGGAAUUACUGGGCGUAAAGGGUGCGUAGGUGGCAGGGUAAGUCACAGGUUAAAGCCCGGGGCUCAACCCCGGAAAGGCCUGUGAUACUGCCUUGCUUGAGGGCCGGAGAGGCUGGCGGAAUUCCCGGUGUAGGGGUGAAAUCCGUAGAUAUCGGGAGGAACACUGGUGGGGAAGCCGGCCAGCUGGACGGUUCCUGACACUGAGGCACGAAAGCGUGGGGAGCAAACCGGAUUAGAUACCCUAGUA